GCCAGUGUCGGAUAAUCCGGUUAUUCCGUUCGCCUCGAAAGCGAAUGUCCUCCGGGACGUGCAGGUUCAAAUCCUGCCGCUGGCG
rnacentral:tRNA from 1 species